rnacentral:rRNA from 1 species
AUUGAACGCUGGCGGCAGGCUUAACACAUGCAAGUCGGGCGGGGUGAUGGUGCUUGCACUAUCACUUAGAGGCGGACGGGUGGGUAAUGCUUAGGAAUCUGCCUAUUAGCGGGGGACAACAUCUCGAAAGGGAUGCUAAUACCGCAUACGUCCUACGGGAGAAAGCAGGGGAUCACUUGUGACCUUGCGCUAAUAGAUGAGCCUAAGUCGGAUUAGCUAGUUGGUGGGGUAAAGGCCUACCAAGGCGACGAUCUGUAGCGGGUCUGAGAGGAUGAUCCGCCACACUGGGACGGAGACACGGCCCAGACUCCUACGGGAGGCAGCAGUGGGGAAUAUUGGACAAUGGGGGGAACCCUGAUCCAGCCAUGCCGCGUGUGUGAAGAAGGCCUUAUGGUUGUAAAGCACUUUAAGCGAGGAGGAGGCUCUUUUGGUUAAUACCCAAGAUGAGUGGACGUUACUCGCAGAAUAAGCACCGGCUAACUCUGUGCCAGCCGCCGCCGUAA